ACAAAUGACGCAGAGAAAAAUCCAGCUUAAAACAUGGAAACUUCCAACCAUGAACGACCCAGUUUAACCCCCCCCCCCCCAAACUCCACUCCACGUAAACAAGUUCCACGAGUCAACUCACCGUCCAUUUAUUGGCACCCACCGCAGUUUUUUCAAACUCUUCCAGUUUCCUCCAAAACUCACAAUCUCUUGAAACUUCCACCCAUGGCUUCUCUGAACUCCCUUGCCUUCCUCACAAUCUUCCUUGCUCUGCAUCUCAAGAUUGCUAAACCCGACUUUUAUCCCCCCUUUUGCCACCCAUCUUCGAUGAUGUAUGUAAAGAAGUGGAAUGUGGAAAAGGAAAAUGCAAGCCUUCUUCAAAUGGAACACUCCCUUAUUAUACCUGUGAAUGUGAUGUUGGCUGGAAACAAACUGCUGCUGCGGUCGAUGAUGAUGAUCAUCAUCCCAAGUUUCUCCCUUGCAUUUUCCCAAACUGUACGUUGAAUACUGCUUGUGCAGCUGCUCCUUCCCCUGUGCAAGAAAAGGCAGCCAAAUCAAACCAAUCUAUCUUGACAUCUGCAGGUGGACUAAUUGCGGAGGAGGAUCGUGUGACAAGAAGUCUCUGUUACGUACGAUUGCAGAUGCUCAGAGGGUUAUUUAAUCUUCUUAAUGUCUCUUCCUUCCCAUGCUACAGAGAAUGUGCAUCGGAAUGGACUGUGCAAACCUUGAGAUCUCAAUGUCAAAUAGGUCUAGUUCCGUAACACCGACAUCAUCUCGAAAUGAUGUUAAUCGAGCAGACUCGAAGCUGUUCAGAAAUUGUCGUUGGCUGAUAAUGUCGACGGUGUUGCUCGCGAUGGUUGUUGAUGUUGUGUAUAUAAAGCUGAUGCUCGGGUUCGAGUUCCACGAUCCGGAUAGCGAUUCUAGCAUCAAGCAUAGCCGUAUUCUUCUGUUGUUCUAUGGAAAAUGUAGCUUAGAUGUAUGUUGUAACUAUUUUCUC